GACGAACGCUGGCGGCGUGCUUAACACAUGCAAGUCGAACGGUAAGGCCCUUCGGGGUACACGAGUGGCGAACGGGUGAGUAACACGUGGGUGAUCUGCCCUGCACUUCGGGAUAAGCCUGGGAAACUGGGUCUAAUACCGGAUAGGACCACUGCCUACAUGGGUGGUGGUGGAAAGCUUUUGCGGUGUGGGAUGGGCCCGCGGCCUAUCAGCUUGUUGGUGGGGUGAUGGCCUACCAAGGCGACGACGGGUAGCCGGCCUGAGAGGGUGACCGGCCACACUGGGACUGAGAUACGGCCCAGACUCCUACGGGAGGCAGCAGUAGGGAAUAUUGCACAAUGGGCGCAAGCCUGAUGCAGCGACGCCGCGUGAGGGAUGACGGCCUUCGGGUUGUAAACCUCUUUCAGCACCGACGAAGCGCAAGUGACGGUAGGUGCAGAAGAAGGACCGGCCAACUACGUGCCAGCAGCCGCAGUAA
rnacentral:rRNA from 1 species